UUCGAUUAUAGCUCAGAUUGAACGCUGGCGGGAUGCUUUACACAUGCAAGUCGAACGGCAGCACGGACUUCGGUCUGGUGGCGAGUGGCGAACGGGUGAGAGUAAUGUAUCGGAACGUGCCCUAGUAGCGGGGGAUAACUACGCGAAAGCGCUGUACCGCAUACGCCCUUCGGGGGAAAGCGGGGACCUUCGGGCCUCGCACUAUUGGAAGCGGCCGAUAUCGGAUUAGCUAGUUGGUGGGGUAACGGCUCGCAGGCGACGAUCCGUAGCUGGUUUGAGGACGACCAGCCACACUGGGACUGAGACACGGCCCGGCCCAGACUCCUACGGGAGAGCAGCAGUGGGGAAUUUUUGGACAAUGGGGAAACCCUGAGUCAGCCAUCCCGCGUGUGCGAUGAAGGCCUUCGGGUUGUAAAGCACUUUUGGCAGGAAAGAAACGGCACGGGAUAAUACCCCGUGCAACUGACAAUACCUGCAGAAUAAGCACCGGCUAACUACGUGCCAGCAGCCGCGGUAAUACGUAGGGUGCAGAAAGCAGUCAAUCGGAAUUACUGGGCGUAAAGCGUGCGCAGGCGGUUCGGAAAGAAAGAUGUGAAAUCCCAGAGCUUAACUUUGGAACUGCAUUUUUAACUACCGAGCUAGAGUGUGUCAGAGGGAGGUGGAAUUCCGUAUAACCCGGUAAAUGCGUAGAUAUGCGGAGGGAGCUUACCGAUGGCGAAGGCAGCCUCCUGGGAUAACACUGACGCUCAUGCACAGAAAAGCGUGGGGAGCAAACCAGGAUUAGAUACCCUGGUAGUCCACGCCCUAAACGAUGUCAACUGGCUGUUGGGGCCUUCGGGCCUUGGUAGCGCAACUAACGCGUGAGAUUGACCGCCACAGGAGUACGGGCUGCAAAAUUAAGCUCAAGAAUUGGUGGGGAUGCCUCAAGCGAUGGAGUGAUGUGGUUAAUUGAUGCAACGCAAAAACCACUACCACCAGCAUAGCCCCGUAGAUCUGAAGUUUGGAGUCUCGCCGAAGAAUUGGAACACCAGGUGCUCGCAUGGCUCGUCGUCAAGCCGUGAGCGUGAGACGGGCCAAGUCCUGGGUAGCAACCAGCCGUAGUUGCUACGAAAGGCACUCUGUGCGUUCUGCGAUGAUAAACGGAGGAAGGUGAGAUGGCAAUCAGUCUCCGGCCCUUAUGGAUGGGGCUUCACACGUCAUACAAUGGUCAGGACAGAGGUCGCCAACCCGCGAGAGGUAAUCCAGAAACCCGAUCGUAGUCCAGAUCGCAGUCUGCAACUCGACUGCGUGAAGUCGGAAUCGCUAGUAAUCGCGGAUCAGCAUGUCACGGUGAAUACGUUCCAGGUCUUGUACACACCGCCCGUCACACCAUGGGAUGGGUUUACCAGAGAGUAGUUAGCCUAACCGUAAGGAGGCGAUUACCACGGUAGGAUUCAUGACUGGGGUGAAGUCGUAACAAAGUAA
rnacentral:rRNA from 1 species